GCGGGGCCUCGGUGGGAUGCGGCCGGCUGACGGCGCGGGGCGGGGGCUGUCAGCGUGUGGGGGCUGUCAGCGAGGGGCUCGGCCCUGUGAUGGGUGCCUUUUGGGGGAAAAGUCGGCUGUGGGAGGCGGGGCGGGGGUGUGUGAGGUGAGCCCGGGCUGUGCUGGGUGUUGUGUGGGCACUCAGUGCUCUACCAGGGAAUGGCGUAGGGCUGAGGGCUCUGCUGACCCCGCUGUGGGUCCCCACUUAUGGGGAGAGGUGACUGAGGAGGGCAGGAAGGAUGAAGGGAGCUCAGGUGUUGUCCCGUUGGAAGAAUAAAGUUAGAGAGCGUUUGUAAAUCAACUUCCCUCCUUGUUCUCCUUGUGCUGCACACCUGUAGGGCAAAACAGCACGGAUCUCCCCUGCUUCUUGCACACAUUGGUGCCCUGGUGCAAAACUGAAUUCAAACUCUAUCAGCACAGAUUCGUGUGCCUCCUGUAGGGCUGUCAGCUGCACACCCAACCUGGGCUGUGCACAAUGUCAGGUCUGCCGUAGACUGAGGGUGGAAAUCCUGUGGUGAUCCUUACGAAGCUGCAAAGCACGGGUCCACAGGUGGCUUUAUUUCUGGUGGUUAAAGUUUGACAGCCCUAUAGGAGUGAAGGAGGCAGAAGUGCAUGGAUGCGUUGGGUCCCUGGACAGGGAAGCGAUGGUCAAAGUAAAAGGGAAAGCCCAGGGGAGAUGUGAGAUGUGACACAAAAAUGAGGCUGCGGGGACAUCAGGUAGAGGGAAAUGGAGAUAGCAGCAUGGCUAAGCAUGGCCGUGGAAGAAAGGAUGUCAAAGAUCAAGAAAGAAAGAGUGGAAGAAAGCUUAGGAAAUAGAAAGAGAAGGAGGAAGAUUUGGGACCAAGCAGCUGAAAAGGACAGAGGAGGAAAACAGCGCGCUGUGGAACAAAGGUGAUGGUGUAAUUAGCUUUAUUUCCGGAGGGGAAAAGCACUUAUUUGCGGAUGGAUGCUAAAAAUAAUUCAGUGAAAACAGUUGGAAGAGCGCUUUAACCAUACGUGAGAGAUGGGUUUGGGGCUGCAGAGCGAGCCGUGCUUUGGGAAUUGUGCAGUAGGUCACAUCGUGCUGCAAACUCCUCCUGAUAACAUAUGGGAACUUACUUGGUGGUCGUUGAUGUAAAAAAGUUGUAUGUUGUCAAAAUGUAAAUAUUUUCUUCCCCCCUUUUUUUUUUCUUUUUUAAAUGUAGUUUGUUUCCAUAAAGUGACACGAAGGUUACGAGUUGUAAACUCAAGGAAGCUUAAUUAUCUGCAUGCUUUGCUGUUCCCUGGGGACAGGCAAUCUGGUACCGUGGAUCUCUGGGAAGUUUCUGUUGUAUUUAUUAGGAAGGGUUCCAAUUUCUAUAUUAGUGUCAAUUUCUAAACUCUUGGUAUUUGUGUGAGAUUUUUAGGUAGUUUGUAAUGCAGUUCUGUAUCUUGUCUGGAAACCUUUCUGCUUAUUCUAGAUGUGCAACAAAAUAAAAGCUGGACAGAAUAGAAUUACUGAUGAUAUCCCACUCCCUUUGGUGCAGUUUGCUCGCAGAAGAGGAAUCUUAAAGCCCCCUUUGAUUACGUCCUUGCUGGCUGUUGCAGGGUGUAGCUGGAUGCUCCUGGAGACGUUCUGGUUCCACGCUUCCCUAUUGAAUUAUGAAUGUUGUAUUUCACACCUGAGGAUCUGAUAUUCUGUUUGUGGAAUUCAAGUGAGAGACUCAGCAGCUGCUGUUACACUCACUCGGGUUAUUGGAUCACAGGUCUGUGGGGCUGUUCCUUGUGAUCCCACAGCUGCUGGAGCAGGAUGAGCUCUGUGGGUGCCAUGGGUGCAGAGUGUGGCUCGUUGCUCAGGUAGCUUUGGUCUGUGGGAGAUAUACUGUGCAGCUUAGCAGGUCGUGUGUCCUGGGAAGUAGGUUUGCUUUGGGGAUGUACCAUCAGACCUCAGCUGCUCAUUGACUCGGUGCUGUUCUCAGCUCUGGCUGGUUGUUGCAGCUCAUGGUUGUUGCUGCGUGCAUCUCCGUCUUUAAUGUGUUAUUACAAAUGUGAAUAGAGGCUGAGUUCAAAGAAACUGAAAGUAAACCAUCAGUCACUCAGUGCUGUAGGUGCUGAGCGCCGCUGUAGCGCUGGGUUUUGGCACACUCUGUCCAUUUGGCUGUCACUGUUGUCAUUGGUUUUCAGUCAGAGCAAACUCAUUAAUUGUGAAUUAUUAAGGCUGUAUGCUGCUCGGCUGUUUAUUGAUCACACAGAAUUUAGAUAAGUGCAAGCAGAACAGUGCUUUGUUUGCUGUGCAUUCACCUGAAUGUCAGCUUAAUAACUCCGCAGGAAAGGAGAUGUUCAGGUGAUGACAAAUUAACCCGUUCAGUUAGAACAAAGCCAAACAGAAGUGCAUUCAUUCAGGUCUGUUAAAAAUGCAUGCAUUCAAAAGCAGCACUGAAAAUAUUCCGAGGUAGGUUAUAAACUCCUGGGCACGUUGGGCAGGUCAUCCCUACUUGUGAUAAUUCUUUUGGGUGUGCAGGUUUUAAAUACGAGCUGCUGUCUUGGGGACAAACGUGCAGCUCCUGUAUGGCUGCAGGCUGUGCCUUCACUCUGGGUCUGGGCCUGAGAGUGCAUCCCAUCCUUCCUCAUGCAGCAGCAGCACAGCUCUGUGGAUGUGCCUUUGCAGCUUAAAAGGCAAAACCUUGACUUCUUCAGGAGGGGAAGGAAUUGUGGGAAAUUCCUGAAGGAUUAAUGCCAUGUACUUUGUGCUCUGCCUGCAUCCACAGGGUUGGUUGUGAACUGAUGGUAGAGGCUGCUGGGCUGCGCUCACCAGGGCUUUAUCUUGCAAUCUUUUUCUGCCAGGCGAAAGGAGCCGUGCACUUGAGCUGUAAGUGGUGAUGAAAAUGAGGCUGAUGGAAUGUUGUAACUCAAAUUAACUUUGUAUCCAAGGCGUUCCUGUGUCUGCGUGUUUGAGGAGCGCCUUGCCUAGUGGUUCUCAGCUUUAAGUAGGAACUCGGAUUACAGCAGUGACAGAAAUGCAGAAUGAAGAAGAAAUAAGAACAACAAGAUCACAGAUGGAUUGAUUCCAAUGAGGAGCUUGCAAGCAAAGCCUUACCUAUCUCAAAAUCUUACAUUUAAAUUCCUAUUCAGAAGCAACAAACACACCUGAAAGCAUUUAUAGUAGCAGAGAGCAAUCCUUAUCUUCCUGUCAGUGGACAGUGUUUGAUCGCUAUCGGGGCAGCACAGUGUGGCUGAUCUCAGCUGUACAGACUGGCUGCCUGUGGAAAUAAAACCAAAACCCAGGUGUGAAGUGAGCACAUUGUCAGUCAGUGCUUUUCUGUACGUGGUUUGCUCUUCUAGGACCCUUAGCACUUGCACUAAAAGAUGUGUGCUGUUAAAUGAUGCUUUGAUGUGCCUGGGCUGGCUGGUUUUUGCAAUGCAGUGAGGAGGUUAAGUCUUAGGAAAUCGGUUUUAGAAGCCUGUGGGCUUCUUAACCUAACAACACUCUGAAAUAAGUGUUGAGUCUGAGUGUUGCCCUCAUUGCUCUGCUUUUCCUUAGAUGAACAAAAUGAUAUGGACUUAGGCAAGCAUAAGAUCUAUCUGUUGUUUAAAAAAGCUGAGAGUAAAUGCAUUGUUAGACUUCAGAGCUGGUGGUAGAAAGCACAGAGUGAGCUUCUAAACAAGGGAUUUCCUAUUGGCCUGCUGCACUGCUACCUGUGAGCAUUGGUGUAUCUCAUCAGGCGAGCACAGGCUGCUGUUUAUGAGGUCUCUGAAGUUCUCUGAACACGAGUACACUACAAACUGUUAUUAGGAAGUACAAAUAGUAACAGGAAGUUGGAAAUAUAAAGUCCUGGAGCAUUAACAGGAAGGGCUGCACUCACAGUAUGUGCUUGCUGUUGAGUGCAUGCACUGGAGCAGUCUGCAGCAUGAAAGUCUGCAUUUUAGGGUUCUGAAAGCUGACAGCUUUCCGUGCAGCCGUGCUGUGUGUUGCUGUUUAAUGCAUGUGUGGCUGCUGGAGGGUAUUUCUGCAUUGUCUCAGAGCAGGACUGGGGCACUUAAUGAUGGGGUAGUUUUGGGGAUCAGCGUUGGCAGGGAAUCGUGCCUGAUGUUAAUGCACGUGGCUUUAUUCUAAGGAGAGCUGUCAGUCUCCAGCAUUUUACUUCCUUUAGACUCCCCAGAAUAAGGCUUCUGAUUUCCUAUGAGGCACUGGAACGUGCAGCCACCUUCUGGCAGAGGUUCUGACCGUUUUAUCUCUUACUGAGAGCCAGAGAUGUUAAAUUGAACAUAGCCAUUAGGACACCAGCAGAAGGGGAACUUACACUGAGUUUGUUGUCAGCUCGCUGUCUGUUGGCCAGCACUGCAAAUGGAUCUUGGUAGAGAUCACUCUUUUAUUAAGAGUGGUUGCACCGUUCAUUAAAACUCAAAACAGAAAGUGUCUGUUCACAAACAUAAAGCUUUACGGGGAGCUUUGCUGCACAUCUGGUUGGCACUUCAUCUGGAGAAAAGCAGAUCCCAUUUUGUGUUCAGAUGCAGGCUGCUCUGGAUAGGCCAUCGUUCCUCGUGGAGCUUUGGUUUUUUGUUUAUGGUUCAGAUCUUCAAACAGCGAUGCACCAUCUGAAAGCUGCUGUGAGGACGGGGCUGCAGCUGAUCUAUGAGCUGCAUGUUAAAUCACAAAGGCUCUUGGCAUAUCCGGGAGGGGGAAGGCUACCACGUUGAUUUCUUGUGUGGCGACAUGUUAAGGGAUAGCCUGAAAAAGGCCCAUAAAAAUCUGCCAUGGAAAGCCUGAGCUAUGCAAUGGUUUGAAUGGAAAUAAAGCUUUGUUUCAGAUUUUUGCCUUUGCGGAUUCUUGCGUGCAUUUUGUUUCAGGGAGCUCUCAGAGCAGUAACAGUGCUUUUGGAGCAGCCCAGCCCUGUUCCCAGCCUCCACAAGUGUUUCUGCAGUUGCAAACUCCGGCUGGGCUUUGUUGGUGAUUGAAUGAAUGGUGAGAGAUGUACCACAUGAAAGAAGUUGACUGGAAGCUGUUAUUUUAAUUUUUACAGCAUAGGACAUCCACAUACUGUUCAGAUCUUAGCUCUUUUUUAGUCUAAUCCAGCAAACUUGAUGAAUAUUAACUCCAUAUGAACUCUGUUUCUCAGUGGGCGUUCUCCAUGUUUGGGAUAGGCUGCAAGCUCUAAAGCCCACGGAUGGAUGUGUUUGCUGGGUAAUUAGCAGUAAAAUACUUGCUCGUAUUUGAGAUGUGUUUUAGUGAGAAUUAAAGCAGGUGUGGACCUUUAACAGCAUAUAUCUGUUCAUCUUCAAUACGUUUGAGGUUUCCUUGCUGAAAUAGCUGCAUUCAACCCACGUUUAGUUGAGAAGCACUUAGCAUCAUACAGUAUCCCAGGUUGGAAGUGACCCAUGAGGAUCAUUGAGUCAAAUUCUCACGAUCUUCAGUACUUACACAGAUUCUGUAAGGAAGGAAUGGUGUGCAGGUAGAUGGGUGCAGAGCAGAAUCCAGCCCACAGAGAGGGGAGGGUUGUUUGAAUUGGGGGUGAGCUGUGCUUGAAAACAGAAGCUUCCUUUAGGCACAGCUGUGUUGUUUCCAUAAAUUAACAGUGUCAAGUUGGAAAUCUGAUGGUUAAACUUGGGGGGGAUCGGAUGUGUUUUCAAAACAUUGCAUGAGCUGUCUGAAUGCUUAGUUAGUGCUGAGGUCGUAUCGAAUAAUUCACGGCCAGCUGAUUUGGAGAUCAAAUUCCAUGAAAUGUAAAUGUCAGCUUCACGUCGAGUUCUGGAUCCUGCUGAACGGCCAGGCUGGAUGUGGCUCUGGGCAGCCUGGUCUGGUGGUUGGAAUCCUGCACAUAGCAGGGGAGUUGGAACCAGAUGAUCGUGGUGGCCCUUUUGUGAUCCUAUGAAUGGCUUUGAAGGCAGUGUGUCUGAAAUGCACUGCGAUUACAUGUAUGCGUGCGCCCAUCCUUGGAUUGUUUUAAUUACUAAGGUGAAAGCUCUUGUGUAAAGAGACAGUUGGAUUUGAAAUGGGUUUUAUUGUUAUGGAUUGGACAUACAGCUUUCAUGGUCUGCUGGUACAACAGGUUUCUGAUUUUUAUUUUUUUUUUAAAGAGAGCCAAAAAAAGACUCAAAUUAUUUAACUCCUCUGGUUUGAAUGACACAACUCCACAUAGCCCUGCCUGAGGGGUACACGGCUCCAGGGAAGCAGAACAAGCAUCUCUUCCCCUCAGCCUCGCAGGCUGUGAUGUGGUUGUAACCCAGUGAAGCUUGCAUCUUGGCUGCUGGCAAACGGGAUGUGAUCAAUGAGUGCUGAUUUAUUAUUGAAUUAACUCAGAACUGAAGGCCUCAACUUGCUUUCAUCAUCAAGGCAGAGCGUUGGUGAGCUACCCGAACUGCAGCAUAGUAGUUCUGUCAAAAUGAAGCCAUUUUUGGCUGUAAUUCUGGAAAGCAAACCGUGUUUUGCCUGAAAGUGGUACAGGGCUGUCUUCCUGCGAUGCCUUGGCACCAUGCUGUAGGGUCUCUUUGUUUUUUCUUGUUUUCUAUGUAUAGACAAGAAGCAACUGUUGGAUGUUUUUCUUCUCAUUGUAGAAUUUCAUGCAAAUUUCUGGCAGUUGCCAGUGUUUUAUUUUUAGAAUGCACGUGGUUAUUUUCAGCAGUCAAUUAAAGUGCUCAUCUAUAAAGUGAUGGUGCUAUAUCAUUCUUUCCUUGCAGUUUAACUGAAUUACUUGCAUUGUUUUCCACUCCGUAGCAUGCUUUGAAAUCCAAACACGCAGUUGCAAUAGCAAUCAUGUUACAGCUCAAUGAGACUGUUGUAUGUUUUUGUUGGUUUUCUGUCUUUAGCUUUCUGUAAUCUAGCAGUUUGUGCUUUACCUUCUGUGACACGUGCUGUUCUUUAGCAUUUCUUCUAGGAAGAAGUUUUUCACCCAGAAGGUGGUGAGGCACUGGCACAGGUUGCCCAAGGAGGCUGUGAUGCCCCAUCCCUGCAGGCAUCCAAGGCCAGGCUGGAUGUGGCUCUGGGCAGCCUGGGCUGCUGGUUGGCGACCUGCACACAGCAGGGUUGGAGCUGGAUGAGCACUGUGCUCCUUUGCAACCCAGGCCCUUCUAUGAUGAUUAAGCUCUGAGUUCAGCCACAUCAAUCAGGUGUCCAGGAAAAGGAAAACUUGAGUGCUGCCUACCUAUUCCUGCAGCAGAACUGAGGGAGCCAGCACAGGUGGUGUGAGCUAUGGGUGCACACACAGUCAUCUUGGCCAUGGAGGUGCACAGUGAGUUAUAUAUGGACUCUUUAAAUAAAUAAAAAAAACCUCCACAACAAAACAAGCCCGACUUCAUGCAUCUGUAAUAAGUCUCUCCAACUUUCACUUUCUUUAUUUGCCCUUAGACUGACAUUAUUGUCAAGCUCUAAUGGAGAAGGGGAAAUCUAACAGCCUUCAAGUCACACGGUGCUGUCUGCUGUGUGACCUUUUUCCAGUUGAUGGUUCAAUUUAUUUAGGUGAUAAAGAAAACACUGGGGCAUGUGAAGUCUGUCUUCUUGACAGAUGUGAGCUUACUGGAACUUUGUCCUCAUCCUUUUCUCCUUCCCCACAUUCACAGACAGCCCUUAGUUUUUAGAAAGAGGUCCAUAUAUUCUUCUUUGAGGUUUAAAUGUUUUCUAAUCUUUUCAAGGUUUACCAAAGUGCAGCUGGCUGUCAGCAUGCGAAAAGGGCAGCAGUUGUUGGGAUGUACUGCAAAGGAAAUGUCUGUGUUUUGUGUCAGGUGAUGCACAGCAAAAAUCCCUCGUGAUAUGGGGUGUGAGGUUGUAGAGAAACAACAUUAUGUGGGUAUUUUUGUCAAAUGGGGGAUAUCAUGAGACUGUAUCAGAGCUGUGGAGAGCCACAGCGAGUUGUAAGGGCUGUUGGUAAUGCUUUGUCAGGAAACUUUCCCUGAAAUCACGAUGAAACUGUUCAAGCUUGCUGCUAAAAAUGCUUGUUGUUGUUUGUUUGAUGCUUAGCAGUGAUCAGUGCAAUGCUCUAUUUCUGCAGUAGGUUACAUCUGCUUGUAAGGCAUUGGGACCCUGUGGUGGCCAGGAGCAGAAGCCCAGGGCUGGCAGCUUGCUGACCUCCUUGGCAUGCUGAGGAAUUCCAUAAAGACAGAGCCUUGAGUCACCCUGCUGGUCUGCCAGGAGAUGUGUAAGGCUGCUGCAGGGAACUGUGAGUGCAAAAGAAUUGAAUGGCUUUGCACAACGGCCGUUCUUGUCCAGGAAUGCCUUCUUUGCCCUAAGAGCAAAAGCUCCCGAGCAAUGUCAGAGCUGCAUAUCAUAUCGUUUUUCCUCGAUCAAUAAGGAUAUGUUAAACAAAAGGUGCAUUAGUAGGGUUUUUAUUGAGUAUGCUGUUGGAAUAAGUAGAUUCUGUCAUGCACUGCUGGCUCAUUUCAAUUGGAAUACCACAGUUCAGUAAAGGAAAAUAAUUGAGUCGUAGGUUUCUUACUUAAAGUGUGUUAGAUAUCAUCUUUUGUAAUAAAAUUUUAUGAGGGUGAAAUGAAUUUAGAGAGCUGAUUAAAUAGGGACAGCUCUUUUCCUUUCCCUCUUGUGUGAGGUUGGCUCUUUGAGCUUCACAACAGCAGUUUGGAAAAUAUUUUCAAUAGAUAAGCCUUAUUGAAUUAGAAACAUCUAUAUCUGCUGUUUGUUAUUUUCUCCCGAGUUUUGCAAUGCUGCCUGCUUUGCAGACAGCCUGUUGGGUAAGCAUGUCGGGUUCACUUCAGAUAAUUUUAUCAGUGUUAACACAAACCGCUCAUUUAAACUUUUGAAGCAAAACUGGUAACGUAUUUUUUUUUCUCCCUUUCCUAUGCUGAAUUAGGAAAACUUCCUACAGCUUGCUGUCUGGGCAGUCGGAUGCCAAUGGGAGUCCCAGUGCAGAGCAGUGAGCACUGUCAUUCAGGCAGCAGUGUUCAGAAAGGUUGGCUGUCUGCAUGAGCAGUGAGCUGGGACCGUGUGAGGCUUUACGCUGAGGUCUGUGGCGCAGCCUUGUGCAAUGCUGUCGGGAAGAGCAGGAUGUGACUGGUGUGAAAGUGCCAGCAAAGAGCCCACGGUGUUUCCAUGUACUUUGAUGCCAAUAAAAUUGUAUUUUUGCUGUUAUGAUCCUCUGUUAGGAGAAGCAGAGAGGCAGGACUGAAAGAAAAUGUGAGCAUUUUCUUCCUCAUCUCCGAAAUCUUAUCAGGAAGUUUGAUGUUUAUUUAAAACAAAACAAAACAAAA